GCGAGUCUGAAUAGGGCGCAUAAGUAACAGGUCGUAGACCCGAAACCAGGUGAUCUACCCAUGUCCAGGAUGAAGGUAAGGUAAUACUUACUGGAGGUCCGAACCCACGCACGUUGAAAAGUGCGGGGAUGAGGUGUGGGUAGCGGAGAAAUUCCAAUCGAACUUGGAGAUAGCUGGUUCUCUCCGAAAUAGCUUUAGGGCUAGCCUCGAGGUAAAGAGUCAUGGAGGUAGAGCACUGUUUGGACUAGGGGCCCUUCUCGGGUUACCGAAUUCAGAUAAACUCCGAAUGCCAUGUACUUAUACUCGGGAGUCAGACUGCGAGUGAUAAGAUCCGUAGUCGAAAGGGAAACAGCCCAGACCACCAGUUAAGGUCCCCAAAUAUAUGUUAAGUGGAAAAGGAUGUGGGGUUGCUUAGACAACCAGGAUGUUGGCUUAGAAGCAGCCACCAUUGAAAGAGUGCGUAAUAGCUCACUGGUCGAGUGACCCCGCGCCGAAAAUGUACCGGGGCUAAACAUAUUACCGAAACUGUGGAUGAACCUCUUUAGAGGUUCGUGGUAGGAGAGCGUUCUAAGGGCGGUGAAGUCAGACCGGAAGGACUGGUGGAGCGCUUAGAAGUGAGAAUGCCGGUAUGAGUAGCGAAAGAAGGGUGAGAAUCCCUUCCACCGAAUAUCUAAGGUUUCCUGAGGAAGGCUCGUCCGCUC
rnacentral:rRNA from 1 species